ACCUGGUGGGCUCAGUUGGUAGAGCGUGAGAUUCUUGAUCUCAGGGUUGUGGGUUUGAGCCCCACAUCAGGUG
rfam:Ailuropoda melanoleuca scaffold2250_32, whole genome shotgun sequence.